GCUCUGGGACUGUAAAGAGACUUAAGAAGUGUAGGAUAAAUUGCAGGUCCUACACACGUAGAUGUGCUGCAGCCUAAGCACAGAUGAAAUACCACUGCUUUGAUCACUUUUUCUCUUACUUGGUGAGGCAUGGGAUAUGGUAGGGGAAAACUUUGAAGGACCCUUGUUUUCAGUGUUAAGUGCACAGAGCAUCCUGGGUACGAUCCGUUCCUGGGACAGCAUAAGCUGGGGAGCUUGAAUGGGGAGAUGCACCUGUGAAACCAUAAUGCAGGUGAAGUAGAAAACUACUACAGACUCCUAAGGUGAGUCACUUUCAAGAAGAG
rnacentral:ncRNA from 1 species